rnacentral:rRNA from 1 species
GAUGAGCCAAGAUUGGUACCCUUUAAAGGUACUAUUGAUUUUAAACUGAAGAGUUUGAUCAUGGCUCAGAUU